GAUGAAGAACGUAGCGAAAUGCGAUAAGUAGUGUGAAUUGCAGAAUUCAGUGAAUCAUCGAAUCUUUGAACGCACAUUGCGCCCCUUGGUAUUCCAUGGGGCAUGCCUGUUCGAGCGUCAUUUGUACCUUCAAGCUCUGCUUGGUGUUGGGUGUUUGUCUCGCCUCUGCGUGUAGACUCGCCUCAAAACAAUUGGCAGCCGGCGUAUUGAUUUCGGAGCGCAGUACAUCUCGCGCUUUGCACUCAUAACGACGACGUCCAAAAGUACAUUUUUACACUCUUGACCUCGGAUCAGGUAGGGAUACCCGCUGAACUUAAGCAUACCAUAAGCGGAGGA
rnacentral:misc_RNA from 1 species